rnacentral:rRNA from 1 species
GUGGGGAAUAUUGGACAAUGGGCGAAAGCCUGAUCCAGCCAUGUCGCGUGUGUGAAGAAGGUCUUCGGAUUGUAAAGCACUUUAAGUUGGGGGGAAGGGCAGUAAGUUAAUACCUUGCUGUUUUGACGUUACCGACAGAAUAAGCACCGGCUAACUUCGUGCCAGCAGCCGCGGUAAUACGAAGGGUGCAAGCGUUAAUCGGAAUUACUGGGCGUAAAGCGCGCGUAGGUGGUUUUGUAAGUUGGAGGUGAAAUCCCCGGGCUCAACCUGGGAACUGCCUCCAAAACUGCAUGACUAGAGUACGGUAGAGGGUAGUGGAAUUUCCUGUGUAGCGGUGAAAUGCGUAGAUAUAGGAAGGAACACCAGUGGCGAAGGCGACUACCUGGACUGAUACUGACACUGAGGUGCGAAAGCGUGGGGAGCAAACAGGAUUAGAAACCCCAGUAGUCC